GGAGGGCCAUUUGUCUGAGAACAUUCCUCCUUGUGGAUCACCAGGGUUGGUGUGGCUGAUCUGUCUGGCUAGGCAAGCGGCCCCUUCCUAUUUCAUCACUCCAUGGGCAUCCCUCUUGUGGUUGUAAGCUGGCCAACCUUCCCAGAGAGAAGGAAGACCAUUCUUCAGCCAACAGCCUGCACGUACCUGCAUCCCCCUACUAGAACUUAUGAACAACCUUUCAGAAGCACUCUCCAGUGGAGCUGCACUGGGACCUCCACCCAGCAAACCGUCUCAUCCUGCCCUGGUGGAAUCCAAUGAGCCCAGAAGCAUGCAGA
ensembl:misc_RNA 7SK 7SK RNA